CCCGUACAAGAUUUACUUCCCCUGUUUUGUAUACAAUCUUCUCUUUGAUCGAGAAACCGCUCCGUAGUUAUCCCUUCUCUCUCUAUAUUAUUCGGUCUUGUCCAAUUUAUGAAUCCGGAAUUAUCAAACACUUCAAAACGAAUUAGGUUUUUCAUAUGAGUAACAAGGUUGACAAUUCCAAGUGGUACCAAGAUGAAGAGUACAUUCUGGGAUUCAUACCUGGGCCACAUUAUGCCAAUGCAGAUUCUCAUAUUGUUCCAUUGUUAUUAGCCCAGAAUUCUCUGAAGUGUAUAGCUUCUUUGGAAGUGUUUUUGAUCUAGAGACUAAAGGGCAUGUACAGAAACUAAAGGAGAUGGAUCCUAUAAAUUUUGAAACAGUCAUAUUAUUAAUGUGAAAUCUCAGUCAACUGGUCAAAUCCCGAGUUUUAGCCAAUGGUUUGAUCGUGACUAAAAGAAAAUCAAAGACUUUAUUGGUUCCAAGACAGUCAUUCAGGUGCAUAAGUAAAUCGAUGGUAAUCAAGAUGGCCUUCUAAACCUCCCGGGUGAAGCAUCAGCAGUAAGAUCUGGGGUUAGCUCAGGGACAUUGGGUCAACAUGCAUCAAUGUCACUUCGAAGUGUGAGAGACGUACUGACAUCAGCACUUCAGCAGAGAAGCAGAUUGCUUACCAGUUACCACAUUACUGGUGCAUUGCGCCAAUACUUCAGAGCACACCUCCUAUUGCUUGUGGAUUCAAUUCAUCCUAGCAAGAAUGUUCGAAGUGUGGCACGGAACAUUUCAAGUUCCAGGACAGCAUGCAAGCCACUUGAUAUUAGCAAAAAGGCUGUGAAUACUGUAUAAUGUCAUACAGAAAGAUCAAAAGCUUGGUCCUGCAUUUGUGAGAGCUCGUUGGCCUGCCGUUGAUAAGUUCUUGAAUUGCAAGGGGCAUGUUACCAUGUUGGAGUUGUGUCAGCUGUUUUUAUUUUCACCACAAUUUCUAUAUCAUCUUUUCCACUGUCAAAUGCUUUCCUUAUAUUGGUUUUCUUUUUAGGCCCAUCCGGUUGAGCGCAACUUGCAUGAUUUGCUUCUAUAAGCACUGGGUUUUAUUGUGAAUUGUGUUCAAAACUUUAGCGUUUCAGUUUA